rnacentral:rRNA from 1 species
CGGGGGGCUGCAGCAGUGGGGAAUAUUGGACAAUGGGGGCAACCCUGAUCCAGCAAUGCCGCGUGUGUGAAGAAGGCCUGCGGGUUGUAAAGCACUUUCAAUAGGGAGGAAAAGCUUUGGGUUAAUACCCCGAAGUCUUGACGUUACCUUUAGAAGAAGCACCGGCUAACUCUGUGCCAGCAGCCGCGGUAAUACAGAGGGUGCGAGCGUUAAUCGGAAUUACUGGGCGUAAAGCGCGCGUAGGCGGUUUGAUAAGUCAGAUGUGAAAGCCCCGGGCUUAACCUGGGAACUGCAGUUGAUACUGUCAAACUAGAGUAUGGUAGAGGGUAGUAGAAUUCCUGGUGUAGCGGUGAGAUGCGUAGAUAUCAGGAGGAAUACCAGUGGCGAAGGCGGCUACCUGGACCAAUACUGACGCUGAGGUGCGAAAGCGUGGGGAGCAAACAGGAUUAGAUACCCCCGUAGUC